CAAGAUGAGACGAAAAUGAUGGCGUCUCAAACUCUCAAUAUCAUCCUCUCACCCAACCCAUUAGAAACCCUACCCCACGUAUUCCCUGAUACAAACAACUGUUGUAUCCCUAACCCUCAAAGAAACAAAAAAAGUUGCAUUUAUCUCCCCAGAUCGGCUAACUUCCGACGGCUCCCGGCGACGCGUCCUUGGCUCCCGACGGCGCGUCCAUGGCUUCCGGCGGUCAGGCUAGCUAACUUUCGAUGUUAGUACUUCCCAGACGCUAGACAUCUGGGAGGUGCGGCACGUUGCCAACCGAAGUUGCCCCUGCUCCCAUGGGAAGAUGACGCCAAUAUCACUACCUUGCAUCCAUAGAUUGAUUCCUUCCAACGCUAGCAGGCUAGAUGUUCAAGGGGGUGGCAGAGG
rnacentral:lncRNA from 1 species